ACGAACGCUGGUGGCGUGCUUACACAUGCAAGUCGAACGAUGAACUUGGAGCUUGCUCCGGGGGAUUAGUGGCGAACGGGUGAGUAACACGUGAGUAACCUGCCCUUGACUCUGGGAUAACCUCCGGAAACGGAAGCUAAUACCGGAUAUGACGCACGGAGGCAUCUCCUGUGCGUGGAAAGAAUUUCGGUCAAGGAUGGACUCGCGGCCUAUCAGGUAGUUGGUGAGGUAACGGCCCACCAAGCCUACGACGGGUAGCCG
rnacentral:rRNA from 1 species